GGGGGCAUAAUUUAGUUGGUAAAAUAUUAAUUUUGCAUGUUAAAGACUUAGGUUCGAAUCCUAAUGCCUCCA
rnacentral:tRNA from 1 species